AUUGAACGCUGGCGGAAUGCUUUACACAUGCAAGUCGAACGGCAGCACGGGGGCAACCCUGGUGGCGAGUGGCGAACGGGUGAGUAAUACAUCGGAACGUGCCCAGUCGUGGGGGAUAACGUAGCGAAAGUUACGCUAAUAUCGCAUACGAUCUACGGAUGAAAGCGGGGGACCGGAAGGCCUCGCGCGAUUGGAGCGGCCGAUGUCAGAUUAGGUAGUUGGGGAGGUAAAGGCUCACCAAGCCGACGAUCUGUAGCUGGUCUGAGAGGACGACCAGCCACACUGGGACUGAGACACGGCCCAGACUCCUACGGGAGGCAGCAGUGGGGAAUUUUGGACAAUGGGCGCAAGCCUGAUCCAGCCAUUCCGCGUGCAGGACGAAGGCCUUCGGGUUGUAAACUGCUUUUGUACGGAACGAAAAGGCUCUGGUUAAUACCCGGGGCUAAUGACGGUACCGUAAGAAUAAGCACCGGCUAACUACGUGCCAGCAGCCGCCGUAA
rnacentral:rRNA from 1 species